UACGGAGGGUGCAAGCGUUAUCCGGAUUCACUGGGUUUAAAGGGUGCGUAGGUGGGCAGGUAAGUCAGUGGUGAAAUCUCCGGGCUUAACCCGGAAACUGCCGUUGAUACUAUUUGUCUUGAAUAUUGUGGAGGUAAGCGGAAUAUGUCAUGUAGCGGUGAAAUGCUUAGAUAUGACAUAGAACACCAAUUGCGAAGGCAGCUGGCUACACAAAUAUUGACGCUGAGGCACGAAAGCGUGGGGAUCAAACAGG
rnacentral:rRNA from 1 species